rnacentral:lncRNA from 1 species
UUUUCCUGUGGAUAGCAGAAAACAUGAGGUAAAUUGCACGGUAUCUGCAUAAGGAGAGAUAAGUAAAGACACUGGCAUAUGAUCAGUGAGAAGUGUCGGGCCUCUGGGCCCAAGCCAAGCCAUUGCAUCCCCUGUGACUUGCACGUAUACGCCCAGAUGGCCUGAAGUAACUGAAGAAUCACAAAAGAAGUGAAUAUGCCCUGCCCCACCUUAACUGAUGACAUUCCACCACAAAAGAAGUGUAAAUGGCCAUUCCUUGCCUUAACUGAUGACAUUACCUUGUGAAAGUCCUUUUCCUGGCUCAUCCUGGCUCAGAAAGCACCCCCACUGAGCACCUUGCGACCCCCACUCUUGCCCGCCAGAGAACAAACCCCCUUUGACUGUAAUUUUCCUUUACCUACCCAAAUCCUAUAAAACGGCCCCACCCUUAUCUUCCUUUGCUGACUCUUUUCAGACUCAGCCCACCUGCACCCAGGUGAAAUAAACAGCCAUGUAGCUCACACAACGCCUGUUUGGUGGUCUCUUCACACGGACGCACAUGAAAUUUGGUGCCCUGACUCGGAUCGGGGGACCUCCCUUGGGAGAUCAAUCCCCUGUCCUCCUGUUCUUUGCUCCCUGAGAAAGAUCCACCUAUGACUUCAGGUCCUCAGACUGACCAGCCCAAGGAACAUCUCACCAAUUUUAAAUCAGGAACUUGCUACACGUGCUGGAAAUCUGGCAACUGGACCAAGGAAUGCCCGCAGCCCGGGAUUCCUAAGCCGCAUCCCAUCUGUGUGGGACCCCACGGAAAAUCGGACUGUUCAACUCACCUGGCAGCCACUCCCAGAGCCCCUGGAACUCUGGCCCAAGGCUCUCUGACUCCUUCCCAGAUCUUCUCGGCCUAGCGGUUGAAGACUGACACUGCCCAAUCACCUCGGAAGCCCCCUAGACCAUCACGGACGCCGAGCUUCAGGUAACUCUCACAGUGGAAGGUAAGCCCGUCCCCUUCUUAAUCAAUACAGAGGCUACCCACUCCACAUUACUUCCUUUUCAAGGGCCUGUUUCCCUUGCCUCCAUAACUGUUGUGGGUAUUGACGGCCAGGCUUCUAAACCUCUUAAAACUGCCCAAUUCUGCUGCCAACUUAGACAAUACUCUUUUAAGCACUCCUUUUUAGUUAUCCCCACCUGCCCAGUUCCCUUAUUAGGCUGAGACACUUUAACUAAAUUAUCUGCUUCCCUGACUAUUCCUGGACUACAGCUAUAUCUCAUUGCCGCCCUUCUUCCCUAUCCAAAGCCUCCUUUGCAUCCUCCUCUUGUAUCCCCCCACCUUAACCCACAAGUAUAAGAUACCUCUACUCCCUCCUUGGCGACCGAUCAUGCACCCCUUACCAUCUCAUUAAAACCUAAUCACCCUUACCCCACUCAACGCCAAUAUCCCAUCCCACAGCACGCUUUAAAAAGAUUAAAGCCUGUUAUCACUCGCCUGCUACAGCAUGGCCUUUUAAAGCCUAUAAACUCUCCUUACAAUUCCCCCAUUUUACCUGUCCUAAAACCAGACAAGCCUUACAAGUUAGUUCAGGAUCUGCGCCUUAUCAACCAAAUUGUUUUUCCUAUCCCCCCCGUGGUGCCAAACCCAUAUACUCUCCUAUCCUCAAUACCUGCCUCUAUAACCCAUUAUUCUGUUCUGGAUCUCAAACAUGCUUUCUUUACUAUUCCUUUGCACCCUUAAUCCCAGCCUCUCUUCGCUUUCACUUGGACUGACCCUGACACCCAUUAAGCUCAGCAAAUAACCUAGGCUGUACUGCCGCAAGGCUUCACAGACAGCCCCCAUUACUUCAAUCAAGCCCAAAUUUCAUCCUCAUCUGUUACCUAUCUCGGCAUAAUUCUCAUAAAAACAUACGUGCUUUCCCUGCUGAUCCUGUCCGACUAAUCUCCCAAACCUCAAUCCUUUACAAAACAACAACUCCUUUCCUUCCUAGGCAUAGUUAGUGAGGUCAGAAUUCUUACACAAGAGCCAGGACCGCACCCUGUAGCCUUUCUGUGCAAACAACUUGACCUUACUGUUUUAGCCUAGCCCUCAUGUCUGUGUGCAGCAGCUGCCGCUGCUUUAAUACUUUUAGAGGCCCUCAAAAUCACAAACUAUGCUCAACUCACUCUCUGCAGUUCUCAUAACUUCCAAAAUCUAUUUUCUUCCUCAUACCUGAUGCAUAUACUUUCUGCUCCCCGGCUCCUUCAGCUGUACUCACUCUUUGUUGAGUCUCCCACAAUUACCGUUGUUCCUGGCCCAGACUUCAAUCCGGCCUGCCACAUUGUUCCUGAUACCACACCUGACCCCCAUGACUGUAUCUCUCUGAUCCACCUGAUAUUCACCCCAUUUCCCCAAAUUUCCUUCUUUCCUGUUCCUCACCCUGAUCACGCUUGAUUUAUUGAUGGCGGUUCCACCAGGCCUAAUCGCCACACACCACCAGCAAAGGCAGGUUAUACUAUAGUACAAGCCACUAGCCCGCCUCUUAGAACCUCUCAUUUCCUUUCCAUUGUGGAAAUUUAUCCUCAAGGAAAUAACUUCUCAGUGUUCCAUCUGCUAUUCUACUACUCCUCAGGGAUAAUUCAGGCCCCCUCCCUUUCCCACACAUCAAGCUCGAGGAUUUGCCCCACCCAGGACUGGCAAAUUAGCUUUACUCAACAUGCCCUGAGUCAGAUAACUAAAAUACCUCUUAGUCUAGGUAGAUACUUUCACUGGAUAGGUAGAGGCCUUUCCUACAGGGUCUGAGAAGGCCACCGCAGUCAUUUCUUCCCUUCUGUCAGACAUAAUUCCUCAGUUUAGCCUUCCCACCUCAAUACAGUCUGAUAACAGAAGGGCCUUUAUUAGUCAAAACAGCCAAGCAGUUUUUCAGGCUCUUAGUAUUCAGUGAAACCUUUAUAUCCCUUAUGGUCCUCCGUCUUCAAGAAAAGUAGAAUGGACUAAAGGUCUUUUAAAAACACACCUCACCAAGCUCAGCCACCAACUUAAAAAGGACUGGACAAUACUUUUACCACUUUCCCUUCUCAGAAUUCAGGCCUGUCCUCGGAAUGCUACAGGGUACAGCCCAUUGGAGCUCCUGUAUAGAUGCUCCUUUUUAUUAGGCCCCGGUCUCAUUCCAGACACCAGACCAACUUAGACUGUGCCCCUAAAAAACUUGUCUUCCCUGCUAUCUUCUGUCUAGUCAUACUCCUAUUCACCGUUCCUAACUACUCAUACAUGCCCUGCUCUUGUUUACACUGCUGGUUUACACUGUUUUUCCAAGCCAUCACAGCUGAUAUCUCCUGGUGCUAUCCCCAAACUGCCACUCUUAACUCUUGAAGUAAAUAAAUAAUCUUUGCUGGCAGGACUAUGCUGAAUCUCCUUAGGCACUCUCUAAUCAGAUAUCCUGAGUCGUCCCAAUUCUUAAGACUUUUUAUACCUGUUUUUCUCCUUCUGUUAUUCCAUUUAGUUUCUCAAUUCAUCCAAAACCGUAUCUAGGCCAUCAGCAAUCAUUCUAUAGGACAAAUGUUUCUUCUAACAUCCCCACAAUAUCACCCCUUACCACAAGACCUCCCCUCAGCUUAAUCUCUCCCACUCUAGGUUCCCACGCUGCCCCUAAUCCCGCUUGAAGCAGCCCUGAGAAACAUCGCCCAUUCUCUCUCCAUACCACGCCCCAAAAAUUUUUGCCGCCCCAAAACCUCAACACUAUUUUAUUUUUCUUAUUAAUAUAAGAAGGCAGGAAUGUCAGGCCUCUGAGCCCAAGCCAAGCCAUCACAUCCCCUGUGACUUGCAUGUAUAUGCCCAGAUGGCCUGAAGUAACUAAAGAAUCACAAAAGAAGUGAAUGUGACCUGCCCCACCUUAACUGAUGACAUUCCACCACAAAAGAAGUGUAAAUGGCCGGUCCUUGCCUCAAGAGAUGACAUUACCUUGGGAAAGUCCUUUUCCUGGCUCAUCCUGGCUCAAAAAGCACCCCCACUGAGCACCUUGCAACCCCCACUCCUGCCCGCCAGAGAACAAACCCCCUUUGACUGUAAUUUUCCUUUACCUACCCAAAUCCUAUAAAACGGCCCCACCCCUAUCUCCCUUCGCUGACUCUUUUUGGACUCAGCCCACCUGCACCCAGGUGAAAUAAACAGCCAUGUUGCUCACACAAAGCCUGUUUGCUGGUCUCUUCACAGAUACGCGCAUGAAAGGAAGAUUAAGAAAAACAAAAAAAUGUAAAUUUACUGGACACUGAAUAUAUACUAAGUACUGCUUAAGUGAUUUACAUGUCAAGAUUAAAAUAUUUUGCUUUACUUUAAUUAUCAUCAUAUUCUUCAUCCAUCUUUCAUUUCAUCUUCAUCAUGCCAUUUCUUUCUCCUUCCCCUGGGCCUGAAAUUUUAUCAAGAAGACACACUUGCUGUGUGACUUGAUUAAUUUACUUAAGCAUGGUAAGCCUUUGUAUAAUAUGGAAUUAGAAAAAAAAGUCUUCUUAGAAGUAUUUUAUGAAAACGACAUGAGAGACAGUAUGUAUAUGGUUUGCAUCACAUGUCUGGCAUUAUUUACCAUUAAUUGUUUUAUUCUCUUAAUUUGAGCAAUUUACUUUUGAAAUGCUAUCUGGAAACGGUGUUAAUUUUAAGAAAGGUUGGGCCUCUAUGUAAAAAUACUGUAAGAGGUCACAACAACAAAUAUGUCUUAAAUUCUGAUGAUGUGUUAAAAAGCUUGAGAAGCACUCAAUAACAAAAACAUACUCACUGACAUACAGGAAGGUGAAAUGAGGUGUCCAUGGCUAGACAGCUAAUAAAUGUAAGAGACAGAUUCUGAUCUCAGAUGAUUUGAUCAGAAACUUUUAACCACUAUAUGCUGAAUUAGCACUAAAAUAUAAAUCUAAAAGUUGUGUUCUUUUUAACUCUUACUAGGUACUAUUUGUUAAGACAUUUUAAGAAUACAGUAUAAAGAUUUUUGCCAACUUUUUCAUGCUUAAUGCUUAUGUAAAUUAAUUUCUUAAGUAAGAUAGCAUGCCUAUAAAAAUCCUAGGGAUAGUGUAUUACCCAUGAGAUUUCUAAGCUAUAUUUUUUAAUGUAGUAAAUCAAAGUGGGUGUAUUCCAAUUUCUUACAACUAGAAAAGCUAAUUUCGAUAAAAAUGAAAUAUUUACAUGAAUCAACUGCAAGGUUUUUAAAAUAUAUUAUUUUUAAUUAAAAAUAAUCGCUGGCGAGCAAAAAGGUUAUUUUGGCUAUAUUGUUCGUAUCUUGAAAGUACCCAUACCGCAUUAGUGUAUAUCCAAAGUAAUUUAUAUUUUGUCCUAAAUUAAUAUGGUGUUGGUUGAAUUUUCUAUGUAGAAAUAUUUUUGUUUUAAUAGAAAAUACAAUUUUCCAUUUUGGCAGUUACACAAAUAUAAAAUAUAUUUACACUUAACUGUAUAGUUCAAAUGUUAUUCAAUUAUUUUAUAUUUAUAAUUAUUGCAAUAUAAUUUAAAAAAAUAGUUAAGAGAUUUUAUUUACUUAUUUGUUUACGUAUUUAUUUAUUUAUUUAUUUAUGUUUUGAGACUGAGUCUUGCUCUGUUGCCCGGGCUAGAGUGCAGUGGUGCGAUCUCAGCUCACUGCAACCUCUGCCUCCCAGGUUUAAGUGAUUCUCCUGCCUUGGCCUUCCAAGUAGCUGGGGUUACAGGUGUGCGCCACCACACCCAGCUGAUUUUUUUGUAUUUUUAGUAAAGACGGAGUUUCACCAUGUUGGCUAGGCUGUUCUUGAUCUCCUGACCUCAAGUGAUCUGCUGGCCUUGAUCUCCCAGAGUUCUGAGAUUACAGGCAUGUGCCACCGCUCCCGGCCUAAGAGAGGUUAUUUUUUUAAAAAAACAGUUUUAAGUUUACAUCAAAACGGAUGGGAAGGUACCGAGACAUCCUAUGAACCUUCUGCCUCCACACAUGCAUAUUCUCCCCUAUUAUCAACGUCCCUUACUGAAGUGGUGCAUGUGUAACAAUUGGUGAACCUACACUGAGACAUCAUUAUCACCCCAAAUCCACAGUUCAUACAAGUCUUCACUCUUGAUGCUUUGCAUUCCCGGGCUGGACAAUUAAUAAUGACAUGUAUCCAUCAUUAUAGUAUCACACAGGUUACUUUCAGGGCACUGAAAAUAACGCUAUCCUCUGCCUAUUCAUCAAUCUCUCUGGACCAACCCCUGCAACUAUUGAUAUUUUUACUAUCUUCAUAAUUUUUCCUUUUCUGAAAUGUCAUCUAGCUGGAAUAAUACAAUAUGUACCCUUUUCAGAUUGACUUCUUUUAUUCUUUCUUGAGAUUUAAUUUGCUUUACCUUUAUCUUCCUAAGGUGGAAGCUUAGAUAAUUGCUUGAGUUCUUCUUGUAUUCUAAUGUUAAUGCUAUACAUUUUACUCUAAACACUGCCUUCACUGAAUCUCACACAUCUUGAGAACUAGUGCUUUUAUGUUGAUUUAGCUCACAAUAUUUUUAAAAUUUCUACUCUUUCUCCAACCCAUGUGUUAUUUUGAGGUAUGUUGUUAAAUCUCCAAAUAUUUUGUAAUUUCUCAGCUAUUUUUCUGUUAUUGAUUUCUAGUUCAAGUCCAUUGUGGUCAGACACCAGACAUUAUGUAAUUUUUAUGUUUAAAAUGUGUUUAAGGUGAUUCUGAAGGCCCAAAAUACAGUCUAUUUUGUUGAAUGUUUCAUGUGAGCUUGAGAAAAAUAUGUAUUCUGCUGUUGUUGGAUGAAGUAGUCAGUAGAUGUCCAUUAUAUCUAUUUGAUUGAUGGUAUGGUUAAUUUUAGCUAUGCACUUACAGAUUUUCUGCCUACUGGAUCUGUCCAUUUCUGUUGGAGUGUUGAAGUCAAUUAUGAUACUGUAUGCAUUUAUUUCUCCUCAUAUUUCUAUGGGUUUUGCCUCACAUAUUUUUAUACUCUGUUGUCAGGCACAUACACAUUAAAUAUUGUUAUGUCUCAUCGAAUGAGUCCUUCAUUAUUACAUCAUGCUCCUUUUUAUUCCUGACAACUUUCCUUACUCUGAAAUUUGCUGUGUCUGAAAUUAAUAUAGUGCUAAUUCUGGUUUCUUUUUAUUGGUAUCAACAUGAUAUAUCUUUCUCGAUUUAUUUAGUUUGAAUCUAUAAGUGCCUAUAAGAAAGUGCGUUUUCUGUAGGCAACACAUAGUUGGGCUUUGUUUUCUGAUUCUCUCCUGACAAAGCUGGAUUAAUAUCUACUAUAUUUGUUUCAGUUUUCUAAUUGCUGCCAUUAUUUUUUGCUUCUAUUUUUAUUUUUCACUCUUUUUCUGUCUUUUGUGGUUUAAUAGAGCAUUUCUUAUGGUUCAAUUUCCUCUUUCUCUCUGUUAAUUCCAGCAUGCCUGCUAUGUCUGAGUCUGGUUCUGAUGCUUGCCCUGUCUCUUGGAAUUAUUAUUAUUUUGUCUUUUGUUAUGUAUUGUAAAUUGUUUUCUUGAUAGUUGGAAAUGGGCUGGUUAAAAGGAAUUGUAAAUAGGCCUUUAGUAAUGCGACGAUAUGGUGUACUAGGAGAAAGGGGGUUUUCUUUAAUCCUGUUAGUAGCUCUAGUCUUUUCGUGAGCCUGUGCCUGAGUUGUGAACUUCGAAUCUGCUUCUCAACUUUUUUUUUUGCUUUGUUUUCCCACCCCUUUAGGUGGGACACAAUGGCUAGAGUGAGCUGGGUUUCGGCAUUUUCCACGUAAAGAAAGGAGGGGCUGGAGUUCUGUGUUUCCCUUCCCCAAGGUCAUGUAGGCUCAGAUAAAACCCCAGCAGUUUAGGCUUUCUUUAACUGGUUUCUCCUGUAGGUAAAUCUUGUAAAGAAAAGACUGUUCUGGAAAAUUUCAAAAUGGUUCCUUUACCCACCCACUGCUGAAAGCUUGAGGGUAAUUUUCUCUGAUAUUCAUUAUGAGAACCUGGCAGAGCUCCUGAAGGCAAAACUCAGAAACAAAUGGGGGGGGGGGUCCCAAAGACUGUAGCACAGGAGUUUUUAAUCUUUCAGACUCUUCCAUAAUGAGCCUCCAGCAAUUUGUCAAGAACCCUUAAGUUUUUCCUAUUUUGACACUGGUUCCUAUGGAGAUUGCUGCUCUUAUAAGUUGUGAGAAAUUUAAUUGUUUUUUACUUUUGAUAUAAAUACCUCUACAUGAGUAAUACAUCUGUAUAUUUGCUGUAUUUCAAAAUAAGUAAGAUGGGUCCAUGGGCACUAUUCAGUUACAUGCUCAAGCAAUUUUUUAGGGUGUAAGUAAUAAGUACCCUUUAGUCAAUAACAUGUAUAUAUUACUUAUUUUCAUGGUAAAAUGACUAGAUGAUUUGAUAUUCCUUCCUCCCUGUCCCUUUUUAUAGAUUAAAUUUAGCACAUAUUCAGGAUAACAACUAGAUGUCAGAUAUUUGAUUACACAGAAUCUGUGAAAUAAACCAAUAGAUAAGAUCUUAUGCAGCAUGCAAACCCAUUUUUUUGCAGUAUUCACUGCAAAAUCUUAUAAAAUCCUAUUUCAAGGUUAUAAAAUUUAAUCAACUAGGCAUUUUUAAGCCAAAAUCUUGUACUUUCUACAUUUUAAGCAUGUCGUAAGAAAAGAAUAUAGACUCUGGCUGUUUCCAUUUUGAAACAUCUUAUUUUGAUCAUAUAAAUAAGCAAAAGAUUACCCUGAGCCAGAUUGGUUUUCUCUCUUAUCAUUAAGGCCUCCACUCAUUUCUGCCACCUGAGUCUUCUUAUACAAUUCUGUAAUUAUACACAUAUUAACAUCAAUUGAGUAAGUAAAUGGAUAGCAUCAUUUUAAUUUAUAUUUUUCCAAAGUGAACAAAACACAUGUUUUACAGAAAUUAAUAGUUGUAUGCAGUUUGAUUACAAAAUAAUACAGCUGAUAUUUCAAGCAGUUUGUAGCUCGCUAGCUCAUUAAUUUUUGCUCAUUAAUUACACUUUUUCUCUCUCAACUCUCUUACUCUAAUCUACUUUCUCUCUGCACCCUCAAUACACACAUAAAAUGUAAGUAAUAGCAGAGUCUGACAUAAAUCAGUUUAAAUUACAGUUUUGCCAGUCACUGUUUUUGACACUACGGAUAAAUUAUUCAAUAACUCUGAGGCUCAUUUUCCGCAUCUGUGAAUUAGGGAUAAAAACGCUUAUCUUAUAUUGUUCCUGUGAGUAUCUAAUGAGGGCAUAUCUGUAAGUGCAUGUUACCUAGGCUUGCACAGUAUUUUCUAAAAAUGAACUAUAUAUAUAAUCAUAGUUUCCAGAUCGUUAACCUUCAUUUUAAUGGUGCAGAAUAUUUUUGUUCAGUUGGUCUACAAUUUAUACACAUAUAUUUAAAGCUACACAAAAAUAUAUUAACUAAUAAAAAAAUGGACUAUAAAAUCUGAAAAAGGAAGACUUAAGAACGGUGAUGGGUUAAUAAAUAGCUCAAUGCAGACUUGUUAAGGGAUGACUAGCUGAAUAGGUGUGUCAACAAUACAAUCACACAAUCGUCUUCAAAUAAUUUUUAAAUAAACAUAUUACUGGCAUUUACUAAUACAAAGAAGGGUUUCUAUCUAUAAGAUAAUUUAAUAGGAUCUUUCUGCACAGAUUAAGUUGAUUACCAUAAAUAAACUAGAACUGAUGUAUUCAAGGGGCAUGGCUGUUUGAAGAACAGAAGGUAGCCACAUGAAUGUGUUCUAUUUAGUAAUUAACAGUAUGUAAAAUGAAAGAAUACCUAAACCAAAAUGGCUCCACUUAAUCAACUGUUUUGUUGGUAGAUUACCUAGACCCAGAUCCUCUAUCACUAUCUUCUCAGGAGUCCUAAGCAUAUUAAUGCACUGCUCUUGAGUUUUUAGAAUUUGUUCAGAGUGUUUAAAACUACAUACAUGUAACAUCUGUUUUAUACAAGAUACUUCAAAAACCAAAGUGAUUACUAUAAUACAUUCUAUUAAACCUAAACCAACAUGUGUUCAAAUGCAGAGAACAAAAAGGAAUGUUUUGUCAGAUGUUGCAUCUGAUGGAUUGAAAGAGUUCUAUAAAAUAGCUCCUCUAUAGCUUGUGCUUUCUGUAUUUUUGAGUCUUUAGGAAAGUUUAAUGCUGGGGAAUAUCUGUGAUGUGUGUGUGUGCCUAGGCAAUUCAACCCUUUGUGGUAACACAGCAUUCCUAGCUAUCAUUCUAUCGUAUGACAAUUUAUUAAUUAUCAUAAUUUACUGGCAGUAAUAUUUUUCUUUAAUUCCUCUUUUCAAACUUGUCAGAUUCAGUAAGAAAAACCAAUGUAAUAUGCAAAUGUCUCCACUCUAUCAUUCCAUGAGUUAUGAGUCCUUUCUUACCAACUAUAUCAUUUAUAAACUAAGUACAUGAAUACUACCAAGUAAUAUACUAUCUUAUCAUUAACAUUAAUCAACUUAUGCAAUACUUUUUAUAUAUUGAAAAAUGUCUACUAGAGUAUAAAAAAAUUGUAAAAAACUCAAACUCUUUUUUUCUUCUUAUUUUGACUGCUGCCUGAUGUAAACAAUCAAACUUUUCAUAUAGAUCCCUAUUUCUAUUUCUAUGUACUACUAUUGUAACACGCUUUCUCAUUAUCUUAAUUUAUGUUUAUAAAAGUCAAAACAUAUUUUUGUCAUGAGUAAGAUGGUCUUUUCAUAUUAUGCACUGUGUUAAUCGGAGGGGAAGUAGGGCAGGGAGAAAAGGAAACUAUAGUAUAUAAAAAAACUACUAAGUCCCAGAACUGCAAUACCCAGUAGUGUAGCAACUAAUCUCUUGAAACUAUUGAACACUUGAAAUGUAGCCAGUGGAAAUAGUGAAGUGCGGAAGGUGCAGUAUACACAUUGGAUUUUGAAGACAAUACAAGAAACAGACAGACAAUGAAUAAUACUGGUAUCUUGUAUUUAUCCCAUUUUGAGAUGAUAAUAUUUUUGAUAUAUUAAGAUAUAUUAUGAUUAAUUAUACCUGUUUAUUUUCACUUAUUAAUUUUGUUUUUUAGGAGAUUAAAAUUACAUUUGUGAUUCAUAUUUUAUUCUUAUUGGAGAGGACUGUGCCAGAUACUUCACACUAACACUUUGAGUUAUGGAGGAACAUGAUCCCUUCUACCUGUAUCAUGAAGUUUGAGAAUUUGAAAAUUAUAGUCCUACUUGAAUUAAUUUUAUAUUACUAUAUAAAAAUACCAAAAACUUAGUAACUUAAACAACAUCCAUUUAUGAUCUUACAUUUCUAUAUGUUACAACUCCAGGUUUGAUUUUACUGGAUUCUCUGCUAAAGGAGUUUCACUCAAGGUAUAGAGGCUCUGGAGAAGAAUCCACUUUGAGCCCCUUUGGGUUGGGCCCACUGUUUUCUGUUACAUGGACCCCUAAAUCUUCAAAGAGAAGUUGAAUACUUUCUGUAUUUUGAGUUACGAUUUUUUCCUCUGUCUCUGACCUGUAGAACCUUAUGUGAAAGUUCAUGUGACUUGGUCAGGUCCAUCUAAAUAAUCUCCCUUUUCAUUAACUCAUUUACAAAAUUCCUUUUGCCAACUGAUUUGGCUCAAAAUUAGUAAUUGAUGUUAUAGAAGCCUGUGGGUUUAGGGAAAGGGGAAAUUCACCAAGAACCUAAAUAGCUCUGUCUGCUUUGUCUUUUUUCCAAAUGUACCAUGUGGUAAAUUGCUAAACCUUAUUGAGACAGUGUUUUCUCAGUUGACAAACUGAGUGUACCAACACGCUACAUUUCUGUAUCAUGGGGUUGAUAAGGAUUUUAUAUGUAUAUAUGCAGAAAGAGACUAUAGAGGCUUGUAUAUAUGUAUAUGUGCAUAUGUAUAUGAACACAAAAUUCUACAAAGUGCUUAUACCAAUAUAAGUACUAUCGCUUAGAAUGCACCUUUUUAGCUACCUUUCAGAUUCUUGUCCACUAAGCAUUGCCAAGUCUUCAAAGGUAAUUGCUGCAAUUUUGGCAAAAUCUCUAAGACUACUUUUCUGUUCUCAUGAAACUCUGUUUAAAUAGGAAAAACACAAAAUAGGUAGGCAAACUUUUUUCUUUCUUUCUUUCUUUUUCCACAGGAAACGACGAGGCUGAAUCCUGUUGGAGUGAUUUGUUCUUCGGACUUUGUAUCUUAAAUGAAAUCUUCUCCCUUAGAGGCCACAUAAACUGAUGGUACAAUCUGCAACUCUAAGCAAAUUCAUAGGUUAUACUUUUUCUUCUUCAUACUUGACAUUUGAACCUAGCAAGUUUGAAUAGCCUGUAAUUUGAAAACUCCCUUGCACAUCUAGCAGAUCAAGGUAGCUUGUUCUGCCUUCUGGACAAAUGGUGCCCUUAAGUCAGCUUAGGGAGACUGUUCCGAUAUCAAGAUUCUGUUUGAAUACUAUAUACUCUCAGCUGCUUAUUUAUUCAUAUAUAUAUGACACGUUUAUCAUGGAAGUAUUUCAAAACUAUCUGAAAAUGAAUAUUGAUUAUUAAGGCAUUCAGUUUUAGGAAGAAAACAUACAUAAAUAUAUGAUCUUCAUUAUUUUCCUUUCUCCAUGCAAUUUCAAUAGAUAUUUAUCAAGAACUCAAAAUAUGCCUAGCACUGCCUAGGUGUUGGAAACAUUAGAGAAAUUAAAACAGAUAAAUUCCUUCCUUUAGUAGACUUAGUCUAACUAAAUAAAUGAUUUUUAAAAGGGCAUAAUAAAUGGUAUAAGCAAAAGAAAAUGAAGGUGAGGGGAAUAGGGCAUGCCAAGUAGGGAGCUGCUAUUUUAAUGAGGCCUAGGAGAAAACCAUUUAUAAGGUGACAUUUGAGCAGAGACCUAAAGAAAGUGAGAAAACGUGAUACAUGUAUGUACAUGGAAAAAGAAUAUAAUAAGCAAAAAAAAAAAAAAAAAUGGAGGCCAAGAGGGAAUCUUAUGCAUUACACAGAUUUUGAACUAAAAGCAAGAAGGCCAUAAUGGCUAAAAAUAAAUGAGGAUUCAUUAAAGAGGGUGAAGAAUAUAGAGAGUUAGGACUAUUGCUGUGAUGUAAAGUCAUUGGAGAGAUGACCUGAGAGAUUAGAACCCUGGGGUAACUUACAUUUCAUUUGCUGUUUUAUUCCAAAGUGAUAUUCAUUAUCUAAAGAAAAAAAUCAAAUAUACAGAAAUGAUAAAAUACAAAACAAUGCUGACCUUUAAGAAACAUUGACCUAUAAAUACUAAGAUGUUAAAUAUUUGUUUCUUGUGAUUUGUAUCUUUAUUGAUGUGAUAAUUAUGUAUCUAUAAGUUUGUGAGUAAAAUACAUAACAAGCCUGGAAUGUAUUUUCUUUAUAAUUCACAUUAAUUUUUUGCACUAAAAUUCAAUCUAGUAAAUUUCCUGUUAUAGUCAAUUAAUUUUGACAACACAUAUUUUAAUGCUCCAUGGUAUUAACAACCCAUUAUGAUUUGCAUUUAAGAUUAUUUAGAGUAUUCAGUGUAAUAAAUAAUGCAAAUGUAGGCAAAAGCUUUUCCAUGUAUACACACACACUACACACUAUAUUUUUAAUUAUUUCAUUCACAUAGAUUAAAAUAAACUUUUGUUUAAUGUAAAACAAUAUUGAUGCUCCCAACUCCCUAGUUACUUUGUACAAUUUGCAUGCCUACCAGCAAUGAUGAAUAUCCUAAUUGCCUUAAACAUAUCUAUAUUAUGUCAAAUCUUUCAUGCACUUUCAGUGUCUGACUUCUUUAGCACUGAAGUUCAUGCUCAGAUUUAAAGGGCCUGUAUGAAUAGGUGAGGCCCACCUGAAUACUCUGCAGAUAACCUGAUUUGGUACCUUAAUUCCAUCUUUAAAAUCCUUUCUAGCAACACCUACAUUCAUGAUUGAUAGACUAACUGAGAGAAGGUAUAUACACCACGGACUGCGAAUUUUGGAGGUCACUUUAGAAUUCUGUCUACCACGGAUACAUUUGAAUAUAUCUGCACAUUUACAUAUAGUUGUCACCACAUUAAGGAAAAUUAACAUAUAGAUUACCCCGAAAAAUUUCCUCAAACUAUUUUAUAAUUCCUUAAUCCCACCCCUUCUUGCCCUCUUUACCACCUUCAAUUCUAGGAAACUGCACCUAUGCUUUUUGUCACUAUGAUUGGUUUGUUGUGUCUGAGAUUUUAUAUAAAUGUCACCAUACACUAUGCACUUUUUGUCUGACUUCUUUCAACUAGCAUAGUUUGAGAUUCCUAUAUGUUUUAUCUAUCAAUAGUAUAUUUUUAUGGCUGAGUCUUAUUUUAUUAUAUGACUAUAUUCACCUUCAUGACAAUAGACAUUAGGUUGUUUCCAGUUUGGGGCCUGAGAAAUAAAGUUGUUUUGAACAUUCAUGUACAAGUAUUUGUAAGGACAUAUGCUUUUAUUUCUUUUGCAUAAAUACUAAAAAAAAGAGUGGCUGGGCUAUAAGUGUGUUUAGCUUUUAUAAAACCUAAAUAAUUCAAAAAGCAAAAAAUGAAAAUCUCAUUUAAAACAAUGGGCAAAGGACAUAAACAGACAUUUCUCAAAAGAAUACCUACAUGCAGCCAACAAACAUGAAAAAAUUCUCAAUAUCACUAAUUAUUAGAGAAAUGCAAAUCAAAACUACAAUGGGAUACCAUCUCAUAUCAGUCAAAAUGGCUAUUGUUAAAAAAAUAAAAAAUUACAGGUGUUGGUGAGGUUUCAGAGAAAAGGAAAUGCUUUCACACUGUCAGUGGGAAUGUAAAUUAGUUCGGCCACUGUGGAAAGCAGUUUUGAGAUUUCUCAAAUAACUAAAAAAACAGAACUACUGUUCAACCCAGCAACCCCAUUGCUGGGUAUAUACCCAAAGGAAAAUAAAUUGUUUUUUCAAAAAGACAUGUGCACUUGAAUGUUCAUUACAGCACUAUUGACAAUAGGGAAGACAUGGAAUCUACCUAGAUGUAUAUCAGUGUUAGACUGGAUAAAGAAAACAUGGUACACAUCCACCAUAGGAUACUAUGCAGCCAUAAAAAUGAACAAAGUCAUGUCUUUGCAGCAACAUGGAUGCAGCUAAAGGCCAUUAUCCUAAGCAAAUUAACAGAGGAACAGAAAACCAAAUACUACAUGUUCUCACUUAUAAGUGGGAGCUAAACAUUGAGUUUAGUUUACACAUAGACAUAAAAAUGGAAACAAUAGACACUGGUCACUGGGGACUUCCAGAAGGGGGAGCGUGGGAAGAGGACAAGGGUUGAAAAAUUACCUGUUGGUUACUAUGCUCACUACUGGGUGACACAAACAUUUGUACUCCAAACCUCAGUGACGCAAUUCAUCCAUGUAACAAACCUGCACAUGUACCCACUGAACCUAAAAUAAAAACUGAAAGAAAAAAAUAUAUUUUUAGCUGUAGCUGAAAAAAAAAAAAGGAAACAGAAAAAGAAACCGCCAUGCUAUUCUUCAAAGUAUUUGUGUCAUAUUACAUGUCCAGCAUCAGAGAGUGAGAGUUCCAGUUCUCCAGCACUUGGCCUUGUUCUCUCUAACUUCAGAUAUUCUACAGGAUGUGUAGUAGUAUCUCAAUGUGCUUUCGUUUCCAGUUCCUUAGUUACUAAUGAUGUUUAACCAUGUUUUCAUGUGCUAUUUUAUCCUUUGUGCAUUUUAGUUUGUGAAGUGUCUUUAGCAAUUUUUACCCUUUUUAAAAAAAAGUAUUGUUUCUUUCUUAUAAUUUUUUUUUUUUCGUUGAGAUGGAGUCUCACUCUGUCACCCACACUGGAGUGCAGUGGUGCGAUCCCGGCUCACUGCAACCUCCAUCUCCCAGGUUCAAGCAAUUCUUGUGCCUCAGCCUCUCCGGUAGCUGGGAUUACAGGCAUGCACCACCAUGCCCAGCUAUUUUUUUUUUUUUUUUUUUGUAUUUUUAAUAGAGACAGGGUGGGUUUCACCAUGUUGGCCACGCUGGUCUCAAACUCCUGCCCUCAAGUGAUCCACCCGCAUUGGCCUCCUAAAGUCCUGGGAUUACAGGUGUAAGCCACUGUGCCCAGCCUGUUUCUUAUAAUUGGAUUUUGAAAACUUUUUUAUAUAUUAUAGAUACAUGUCUUGUAUCAGUCAUGAAAUUUUAAAUAUAUUCUCCAAGACUGUGUAUUGUAUUUUCAUUCCCUGAAAAGUCUUAAUAGAAGAAAAAAAUUGCUAAUUUUGAUAAAGUCAAAAUUUUUAACUUUUCUUUUUCAUGAAUCAUAAUUUUGAUGCCAUCUAUAAGAAAUAUUUGCUUGGAACGCAUUCAUAAAGAAUUUCUCCUCUCCUUCUAGUAAUUUAAGAAUUUUCAUUUUUAUAUUUUGGGACAAUUGUCAUUUUGAGUUAACUUUAUAUAUGAUGUGAGGUAUGGAUGGAAGUUUAUUUUUGUUGACAAAUGGUUAUCCACCUGUUCCUGUGAAGAAGCAUUAUCUUAUGUCCAUUGAAUUCCUUUGUACCUUUGAUAAAAAUCAGUGAAAUAUAUGAGACUAUUUAUGUACAGUCCAUUCUGGUCCAUUGAACUGUCUUCACACCAAUGCCAUACUGUCUUGAAUACACUGUAGCUUCAUGGUAAGUCUUGAGGUCAGAUAGGAUAUACAGUUCAAAUUUAUUUUUACUUUUAAUUGUUUUGGCUAUUCUAACUCUUUAACAUUUUCAUUCAAAUUAACCUAUGAAUGUUUUCAAACAAGCCUACUAUAAUUUCAAAUGAGUUUCUGUUAAAAUUUUGUUGAUCAAUUUCAGGAGUAUUAAAAUUUUCCUAAUAUUGAGUCCUUGGAUUCAUAAACACAGUUCAUCUCUCCAUUGAUUUUUGUCUCUUGUAUUUGUGUCAGUUAAAUUUUUGUAGUUUUUAAUAUAUAGGUCUUUCACAUUUUUCAUGGUUUAAGCACUAAUAAAAUUAUACUUGUAUAUUAUAGAAAAUGAUAUUUUAUUUUAAUUCUGAUUAUUGUUUUUGAAUAUAAAAGUACAAUGGAAUUUUAUGGGUUUUGUAUCUUGUGACCAAAUUAAUUAGUUCUAGGUCUUUAUGUAAAUUAUAGGAUUUUACAUGUAUGAUAACAUCAUUGUGAUAGUUUUACUUCUUCCUCUGUAAUCUGAAUGCCUUUUGUAUUUUUCUUGCAUUUAUUACACAGACUAGAGCUUCCAUUAUAACGAUGAAUAGAAGUUGUAAGAGCAGAUGACCUUGACUUUCUGCUACCAUUAAAGGGGAAAUGUAUAGUUUACGAUAAACUAUGAUGUCAGCAAGAGGUUUCUCUGAAAUGCCCUUUUUUAGAUUGAGGAACUUCCAAAUGAUUCCUAGAUUGAUGACAGUAUUUAUCAGGGAUGAAUUUUUGGAUUUAUCAAAUGUUUUUUUCUGCAUUUAUUGAAAUUAUCAUAGUAUUUCCCUUCUGUGAGUUUGUUAAAUAUGAUGACAUACUAAUUCUCAAAGGUUAGAAUACUUUCACUUUUCUGAUUCACUUUGUCAGGUUAUAUUAACACUUGAUUUUCUUAAAAAAACAACUUUUGAUUCAUUGAUUCGAUUUAUUGUUUUUCUAUUUUUUAUUUUGUUGAUAAUUCUUAUCUUUAUUAACAUUUUCUAUUUAUCAUUGGCUUUAAGGAACUUAACUUUUAUAUGACUUGAUGUAGUUUUCUUCAUAUUUCUAGUACUUGGGCUUUGCUGAACUUCUUGGCUCUGUUGGUUGAUGUUUUUUAAUAAAACAUGGAAACAUUCCCAUCAUUUUUUCUCAAAUAUUUUUCUGCCUCUCUUAUUAUCCUUCUAGACCCAAAUUGUGCAUGUAUUUGAUCACUUAAACAUAUCCCAUAAUUCACAUAAGCUAUUUACUACUUUUAAGACCCUUUUUAAUCCAUAUUUUACUUAUAUAGUUUCUAUUGUUGGACUUUAAGUUAAUUAAUAUAGUUUUAUGUUUUGCUUGGUUUUCUGCAGUUUCUAAUCUUUUAUUUCAUAGAUUGUGUUUUUCAGAGCUUUCUUUUUUAUGUCUGGAAGUUAAAUUUGAACUUUUUUAUAUUUUCUAUAUUUAUUAAUACCAUCAAUUUUUAUAUACCUCGUUGAAUAUAUAAAUUUGAUUGACAAAAAUAAUUUCAAUGUCUUUGUCUACUGAGUCUAUCAUAUUAUUUCUAUGUGUGAUUUGGUUUAUUAUUCUCCCAAUUAGUGAUCAGAUUUCUAUGCUUUCUGAAUGCCUGAUUAAUUUUGACUAGAGUUUAUAUACUGUGAAUUUUUUACCUUUAUCCUGCUAGCUCCCAUAUAUUUGUGUAUUCACAAAAAUGUUAUUGAGCUUUGUUCUAAGACACAGAUAAAUUUCUUGGAAAUAGUUUGUUUCCUCUAAGGCUUAUUCUAGUCUUUGUACACAGGACCCAAUAACCUAACAAUCUGUUGCUAAUUUAUUUUUGCCACUACUGAGUCAAUAUCCUUCCAAAUAAGAAUAGAAAAUAUUAUCCCAUUUUUAUUAGCAUUGGGGAUUAUUUUUUCUGCUUUUUUUGGGUGGUGCUUUCUCUGGCUUUUUUUUUAUAUAUACACUCAUAUGCUGCUUAGUCUUCAAGUAAAAUCUUGACAGAGACAUCUGGAUCUCUCUCUCUCCCUCUUUCUUCUAGUGUGUUUUCCUGCAAACUCUUUGUGCCUCCUGAACUAGGAAGAUUCCUAGGCUCCAACUUUAUUUUAUCUUCCUGUACUGCAGCGUCAAACCACAUUGCAGUUAGUAUGCUGGGGGAUCAUAAGACCAUUUCUUUCCUCUUUUUCAGGAAAUCUCUCUUGCAAUUCUUAAUAUCUAAAGUCUGAAAACUAAAGGUUUAUUCUUUUAUUAUUUUUCCAGAAUAUUUGACUCUUUCAAGCAGUAGAGUAUAUCCCAUAUCCCAUCCCUGUUAUUCUACCUUGCCCUGAAAAAAAAAAUCACUUUUUGACUUGUAAUUUUUUUUUUUUUUUUUUGAGACAGAGUCUAGCUCUGUCACCCAGGCUGGAGUGCAGUGGCGUGAUCUCGGCUCACUGCAACCUCCGCCUCCUGGGUCAAGUAACUCUUCUGCCUCAGCCUCCUGAGUAGAUGGGACUACAGGCGCGUGCCACAAUGCCCAGCUAAUUUUUGUAUUUUUAGUGGAGACGGGGUUUCACCAUAUUGGCCAGGCUGGUCUCGAACUCCUGACCUCAUGAUCCACCCAACUCGGCCUCCCAAAGUGCUGGGAUUAUAGGCGAGAGCCUCUGUGCCCGGGCUUUGACUUGUAAUUUUAAAAACAAAAUGUAGAGGUAUCAGUUGUUUCAGACGUGUUGUAUUAAUGAGGAAAGUAAUAGAGUAAAACUAUUGAUAAUAUUUCAUGCUUACUAUACCAUUGAUGUACAAUAUUCCACAUACAGUGUUAUAAUUUAGUGGAUUUUUUAUAUAUUACUAUUUAACCAAUGUCACUGGAUUCAGAAGUAUUUAUGUUAAGAUGUAAAGGAUAAAUAAAAUAUUUUAUGAUUUAAAAAUAUAUCAGAAAUUUAAUCACCUGGUAAACAUCAAUAUAAAGCCAAUUGAAACUAACAACAUUUUUCUUUGAAAACAUAAACCAAUGUGCACAUGCUGAAAUUGGGAGCAACUUUGUUAAAAUUCAUCAAAGAAAAUGGAAAGAAGAAAAGUUCACUUUAAUUCCACUGG